rnacentral:rRNA from 1 species
GACGAACGCUGGCGGCGUGCUUAACACAUGCAAGUCGAACGGAAAGGCCCUGCUUUUGUGGGGUGCUCGAGUGGCGAACGGGUGAGUAACACGUGAGUAACCUGCCCUUGACUUUGGGAUAACUUCAGGAAACUGGGGCUAAUACCGGAUAGGAGCUCCUGCUGCAUGGUGGGGGUUGGAAAGUUUCGGCGGUUGGGGAUGGACUCGCGGCUUAUCAGCUUGUUGGUGGGGUAGUGGCUUACCAAGGCUUUGACGGGUAGCCGGCCUGAGAGGGUGACCGGCCACAUUGGGACUGAGAUACGGCCCAGACUCCUACGGGAGGCAGCAGUGGGGAAUAUUGCACAAUGGGCGGAAGCCUGAUGCAGCAACGCCGCGUGCGGGAUGACGGCCUUCGGGUUGUAAACCGCUUUCGCCUGUGACGAAGCGUGAGUGACGGUAAUGGGUAAAGAAGCACCGGCUAACUACGUGCCAGCAGCCGCGGUGAUACGUAGGGUGCGAGCGUUGUCCGGAUUUAUUGGGCGUAAAGGGCUCGUAGGUGGUUGAUCGCGUCGGAAGUGUAAUCUUGGGGCUUAACCCUGAGCGUGCUUUCGAUACGGGUUGACUUGAGGAAGGUAGGGGAGAAUGGAAUUCCUGGUGGAGCGGUGGAAUGCGCAGAUAUCAGGAGGAACACCAGUGGCGAAGGCGGUUCUCUGGGCCUUUCCUGACGCUGAGGAGCGAAAGCGUGGGGAGCGAACAGGCUUAGAUACCCUGGUAGUCCACGCUGUAAACGGUGGGUACUAGGUGUGGGGUCCAUUCCACGGGUUCCGUGCCGUAGCUAACGCUUUAAGUACCCCGCCUGGGGAGUACGGCCGCAAGGCUAAAACUCAAAGGAAUUGACGGGGCCCCGCACAAGCGGCGGAGCAUGCGGAUUAAUUCGAUGCAACGCGUAGAACCUUACCUGGGUUUGACAUGGAUCGGGAGUGCUCAGAGAUGGGUGUGCCUCUUUUGGGGUCGGUUCACAGGUGGUGCAUGGCUGUCGUCAGCUCGUGUCGUGAGAUGUUGGGUUAAGUCCCGCAACGAGCGCAACCCUUGUUCACUGUUGCCAGCACGUUAUGGUGGGGACUCAGUGGAGACCGCCGGGGUCAACUCGGAGGAAGGUGGGGAUGACGUCAAGUCAUCAUGCCCCUUAUGUCCAGGGCUUCACGCAUGCUACAAUGGCUGGUACAGAGAGUGGCGAGCCUGUGAGGGUGAGCGAAUCUCGGAAAGCCGGUCUCAGUUCGGAUUGGGGUCUGCAACUCGACCUCAUGAAGUCGGAGUCGCUAGUAAUCGCAGAUCAGCAACGCUGCGGUGAAUACGUUCCCGGGGCUUGUACACACCGCCCGUCAAGUCAUGAAAGUUGGUAACACCCGAAGCCGGUGGCCUAACCGAUGUGGGGGAGCCGUCGAAGGUGGGACUGGUGAUUAGGACUAA